AGGACGAACGCUGGCGGCGUGCUUAACACAUGCAAGUCGAGCGGAAAGGCCCUUCGGGGUACUCGAGCGGCGAACGGGUGAGUAACACGUGAGCAACCUGCCCUUAGCUCCGGGAUAGCUCCGGGAAACCGGAAUUAAUACCGGAUACGACCACGGCCGACAUCUGCUGUGGUGGAAAGGAUUCCGGCUAAGGAUGGGCUCGCGGCCUAUCAGCUAGUUGGUGGAGUAACGGCCCACCAAGGCGACGACGGGUAGCCGGCCUGAGAGGGCGACCGGCCACACUGGGACUGAGACACGGCCCAGACUCCUACGGGAGGCAGCAGUGGGGAAUAUUGCGCAAUGGGCGAAAGCCUGACGCAGCGACGCCGCGUGGGGGAUGAAGGCCUUCGGGUUGUAAACCCCUUUCAGCAGGGACGAAGCGAAAGUGACGGUACCUGCAGAAGAAGCGCCGGCUAACUACGCGCCAGCAGCCGC
rnacentral:rRNA from 1 species